GCACGGAUGCCCGAGUGGUCCAAGGGGUUACGUUAAGGCCGUAAUGUGUUCGCACUCGAGGGUUCGAGUCCCUCUUCGUGCA
rfam:Blastocystis sp. NandII AV274scaffold_163, whole genome shotgun sequence.